rnacentral:tRNA from 1 species
GCGCCCCUAGCUCAACUGGAAAGAGUGACGGCCUUUUAAGCCGAUCGGUCUGGGUUCGAGUCCCAGGGGGCGCA